UACGUAGGGGGCAAGCGUUGUCCGGAUUUAUUGGGCGUAAAGAGCGUGUAGGCGGCUAGGUAGGUCCGUUGUGAAAACUGGAGGCUCAACCUCCAGACGUCGACGGAAACCGUAUGGCUAGAGUCCGGAAGAGGAGAGUGGAAUUCCUGGUGUAGCGGUGAAAUGCGCAGAUAUCAGGAAGAACACCAAUGGCGAAGGCAGCUCUCUGGGACGGUACUGACGCUGAGACGCGAAAGCGUGGGGAGCGAACAGG
rnacentral:rRNA from 1 species